rnacentral:lncRNA from 1 species
AAAUGUAGUCCUGGAGAUCAGUCUACUGUUCCUAUGGUCAUCAUACAAAAGAAUUCCACGGAGCCUAUCACAUGGGGGUCACUAAGAUAUAAAAUAGAAAAUUAUAAACAAUGACAAACAACAUUUAUGAAUUCUUAUUUUGUGGUGUCAGCUCUAAACAAUGACAAACAACAUUUAUGAAUUCUUAUUUUGUGGUGUCAGCUCUAAGUGAACUAAAAAUCUGCAACAGAAGUACAAGUCAAGUGCUUCUAUUAAUGUUGUCAUCCUAAUUUCAUAGAUAAGAAAAUGGAUCAUGGAAGGGGUAAGAAAGCCACAUGUCCCAUCCCCGAAACAUGGCACCAGAGCCCACACGCUCCUAAAGACUAUGCUAUCCUGCCUCUAAUGGAGGUGCAAGAAGAAAUACAUAAUUUUAAUAUAAAGAACUGGCUUCACUUCUGAAAAGAGAAAGGGACUGAUACACCUAUUUAAGAAAGGAUCUGGGAUUUGAGAUUAUUUUCUUAUCCUAGAAGAUAUAUAAAAUGAAUGCAUGUACAAUAUUUUAGUGUACUAUUUAAAUAGUGACUUUUUUUCUUUUUGCAGAAGUCUGUUUAUUUAUACUGCUCAGUGAAAUCUUUUGAAACCAUGUAUGUUACUUUAGUUCAUUUCCAGACUACAUAGUUCAUAGGGAAUAUAGAAAUAAAUUUGGUGUAAUUUUAUAAGAAUAACACCAAUAUUCCAAAAUCAAAUUUAUAAACUUAAUUUAAACCUGGGUCAAUUAUUUUCCCCUAUAAAUAAUGUCUUGCAUUUUUUACUAGAUGUAUAGUUGGUCUAAUGAAUGCUCAAGUGUUCUUGUUAAAUGCAUGAAUGAUCGAGUAAGUAAAUUGUAACUUAGAUUGUCAGUUCUAUAGUUUUCCAUUUUAUCUACUGAAAACUAUCUUCUUUAUAAAAACUGGUAUUCAGGACAUUUGGAGUUCAUAUAAAUCCAUAAGCAUUCCAAGGCUCUGGGCAGCGUGUAAUCAAAAUCGAAUCCUGAGAAUCCUAUGAAGUACAUCUGAAAGUAAUAAAAGUUAAAUACAAAUGAUUGACGGUAGAUAAUAAAGAACAUAUAUAUCCAAUAUAUGCAAAUCAAGAAGAGGAGACUUAAGCAAUGACAUAAGGGCAGCCACAAGUUUCACUUGAAAGGCAGCCUUGAAUAACAAAAACCAGCUGAAGACAGCGGUUUCUGAAAACACAAUCAACAAAAAGUCUAAACAGGUGGAAACUGCCAUUGGAAAUACAUGUGAGAGGAGGCAGUUUUCCCUUGACAUGUGGCUUUGUCUAAACCAAGCCAGAACUGCAUCUACAGAAAAUCUGUAAAAAUUCUAAAUGGUAAGUGAAUAUGUGUAUACAAUUUGGAAAGUACCGUUGAUCACAUGUUAACCUAUAAGAGAGAGAAAGAAGCGGAUGUUUGUGCAGUGUUUGCCUUUUUCAAAUGGCAUAUAAAUUAAUGUAAAACAGUGAUUAAACCCUCCCAAAAUCAAUAGUCUCGUAGUAAAUAGAAUACGAAGAGGCACAGAAAUGGGAUCACAGUAGAAUAAAGCCAGUGACAUUCAACAUUUCUAAGGUAAAUUGUUGGGAUUAACUAGAAAGAUACAUUAUAAGACAAUAUAGAAAAAGCAAGAGUCCUUUCCAUACCACCAAACUGUAUGUUUUGUUUCUUUCAAUCACAAAAUUUUUCAAAAUAAUUUGUAAGCAUUCCUUUUUUUCUUCGGGUUGUAUCUUAGUUAUUUUAUCCUGUUGCCUGAAAUCAUUGGUAAGAGGGCAAAUCACCAUCAAGUUUUGAUUUGGAUGAGGUGAGCUGUUUUGCCUGCCCCUUACAUUCAUCUUAUUAUAUACGUAGACAUAUUUUAUCAAAAGGGGGAAAAAAAAACACGAUGAAGUGCCACUGGAUUUCUAGAUGAUCAAGUGGGCAUUAACAAAUUGAUUUUUUUCAGAAAUCAGGUUCUUUCUUUUCCUCCAACUUACUAUCAUAAAAAUCUAAAGGCAAAUGAAAUGUAAUAAAUUCAUAGGACAGUCUCCCUGGGAAAAUGCUAUUAGCGCAGAGUUGCUAACCACGAACAAAUUACUGCAAUUAGAAUUACCUGAGUGGCAUUGUAAGGCCUCUCUGCCUCACUGAAGAUAUAUGAUUUCAGAAUUUGUGUUCCUUGCAUUAAUAUUAAGACUCACUGAAUGAAUAAAGGGAGAUAUUUAAUGAUUAUUCAUUUGAUGGUAGGACUUGGUGUCAAAAGGUGUUCCUCAGAGUUUAGAUUCUUGUAAAUCUGGUGUAAUUAUCCAUCCUUUGGGAAAUUAAACAUCUCUAUCUUAAAAUAAGGUCUACAAGGAAAAUCACUCUUUAUAAGCUAGUUGGAGAAUAAAAACUGCUUUUAUUUAAAGAGUCUUGAGUUCUUCACUGCUAACACAUCUGCCUAAAUCCACACAUACUAACAUAUUUUAAUUAUAGUCAAGAACUGUAUGGACCCUUAAUCUGUGAUAAUCUUCAGUAGUCUUUCUCAAGUUUUGAUUUGAUGAAAUAAUUGAAGUGAAACGGUUUUAAAACUAUCAUCUACCAUAGAGAUAUGAAUUUAUAGGCAAGAAACUGAAAGGAUCAAGAGAAAAUCGGAAGAAACACAGAAAUCAAAAUACUACUAGGCUCCAAUAAGAAUAACAGGAGAAUGAGAGCUGUCUAAAAUUCAUAUAAUUCUCUCUCUCUUUUUCUCAUUAUCAUCUAUCUACGUAUCAUCUAUCUACAGAUAUAUGCAGCAUAUAACUCAUUUUAGCUAAACCUUCAACAAUGAAACUUACACCAAACUCAGGUUAAUAAUGUAGAAUUACAAAAAUCUUAGAGAAAAUGUUACAUUUCUGUAAAAAUGUAGAUUAUUAAUUUAAAAAUAACUUAUAGUUUCUCAAAUCAUCAUCUUUUGAAUUAUCUUCUCAAAUCUGAAUUAUUCACUUAAAGACCUAGAAUCAAUUUUCAUCAAACUUUUCAGGAAGGAUUGUACCAUAGAUGAUAGAAUUAGAGUCAAAAAUUUAUCUCCAAAGACAAAAAAAAAAAGUUCUGAAUAAUUUGAUGAAUUUUAACAAAAAUUUAUAUAGCGUCUAGUAUUUUGCUUCGAUAAAUCAGUUUUAGGACUCUGGCUACUUUAGACUCCAUUUAAAGAGCAGAAUGUGUCAAUAAAAUAGUUGUUUUCCCAUUAAGAAACAUUGCCAAAAUGUAUAAAAAUGUGUAUUAACAUGGUGCACUUCUGCCCUUAAUUAGCUUGUGGGUACCAGGAGAAAAUGAUGACACAGCGGAAUGUGGCCAUGACUGAAUGGAUCAGGGUUAUCUGUGGAAAUUCCCUCACCCUGAUGGGCAGGAAGAAGAAAUGCCUCCCAGGAGUGAUAACACUAAACUGUGUUUUAAUAGUGCAUCUUGGUGCACUUAGAGACAAACGAGCGUUAACGUGGAAAAGUGGAGAGGCUGUUGAUUAUCAGAGUCGCAGUAUGGAAUGCAAAAGAUGUUGGCCUUUAUCCUGUGAGUGAUGACAACGUUGUUGUGAUAUUUAAGCUGUGCAAGUGUAAAUCUCAAAAAGAUCCGUUGAUUCUGACUAAAACUAAAUAAGCAUCAGCACGAAACUCAGAAGUACAUGCUUAUUUCAAAAAUCACAGUAUUUUCCGUGUACACUGUUUUAUUUCAAAGAUGUGAAAAGUAUGAACUAUGAUGAUUCCUCACAUUAAGGACCUUAAGGAAAGUUGCAGGGGUGACCUCGUCUCAAAUUUUAAUACAGUUAAGAUAAGAUGAUAGCUGAUAAGUGAAUCAGAAUAAUUAUGAGGAUGUAAAGAAGGUAGAGAACACUACCAGACUGAGUUUCAGGAAGGCUUCAUAAAAGAAAUAGAAGUGAACCCUCGAAGGACCAGUAGGAUGGCCAAAGGAGAAAUAGAGCCGUUGGGAAAGUAGUUCAAUAUGCCUGCCCGUUGAGAAGAUGCUCAAAAUAGUUUAGGUUAAGUUCAUGUGGAAUAGUGGGAAAAUAAGGCAGAGAGAUAGAGAAUGGUUGGUUUGUAAAAUCCCUUUAAUGAAAGAGUUGAAGGGUUUGGACUUUCAUUCAUAGAGUUUUUCUUUCUUUCUUUUUAUUUUUUUUUUCAUUUUUUUUUCAUAGAGUUUUUCGAAGAGAGAAUGAAAAGCCCCAAUCAAGUGUCUUAGCCUAGGUUCCUGAGAAAAUAUAGUCUGAGGCAUACAUUUAUAUAUAUAUUUUUUUAGGGAGUGCAUCUCCAAGAACCGAAGUGAAGGGCCGAGGGUUAAAGCUAGGGAGGAGAAAGAGCCAGAACUAAGUCAGUCACUUCUUCAUGGGACUGAUGCUCAGUCCUUGGGAGGUAGGUACCCUGAGGAGCCAUAUAACGUGUGUCAGGGCUGCUCCAAAUGGAGAGAAGAGAAGAAGUAAGAAAUUUGUAAUCACUUCUGGGACAUCUGGGGGGCUCAGCGGUUGAGUGUCUGCCUUCGGCUCAGGGCGUGACCCUGGGGGUCCUGGGAUCAAGUCCUGCAUCGGCUCCCCAUGGGGAGCCUGCUUCUCCCUUUGCCUGUGUCUCUGCCUCUCUCUGUAUCCCUUAUGAA